rnacentral:rRNA from 1 species
CAGUAGCCGCGGGAAAACGAAGGGUGCAAGCGUUACUCGGAAUUACUGGGCGUAAAGCGUGCGUAGGUGGUGGUUUAAGUCCGUUGUGAAAGCCCUGGGCUCAACCUGGGAAUUGCAGUGGAUACUGGGUCACUAGAGUGUGGUAGAGGAUAGUGGAAUUUCCGGUGUAGCAGUGAAAUGCGUAGAGAUCGGAAGGAACAUCUGUGGCGAAGGCGACUAUCUGGGCCAACACUGACACUGAGGCACGAAAGCGUGGGGAGCAAACAGGAUUAGAUACCCCCGUAGUCCCUGUCUCUUAUAA